rnacentral:lncRNA from 1 species
ACCCAGCCUUCUCCCUCGUCAGCUGGGGGGCUGAUCCCCCAGGGCAGACCCAGAGACAGCCAGUAGCAGGCUUCCCCAUCAUUAAGUUUGCAGGCAGAGACAAUCCCAGCCACGAAAGGGCAGGCCCACUGGAGAAGCAAGUAUUCCUCUUCCUUCACAGGAGGGCAAGGCACCCGGUUCCCAUUUCAGAUGGCAGACUACACCCACAAGGUCAAGCAAACCUCCUGAAGGAAGAACCCAGAGACCAGAGCUCUUGGUCAACCAGAGGGUUCAACUAUACAGCACACCCUGUAGCAUACCCCUUUAUGUGUCAAGCACUGGGCCAGACACCAGGCUGCACAGAAUAAUAAGGCCCUCUUCCUGCUCAGUAUACAAAUGUGACAUCUGGAUGUGCAACAGCUGUCUUUUAACUCUGAGGGUGAAAGCCUCAAGCUACAGUGGAGGGAUGGACAGACAGAAGGGUCCUGGAUCCUUGAUGGCAACAUGGAGACCCCACUGAGCCACCGUACAAGCCCCAGGUGGCCUCCUUAUGAGUUAUCAAUUGC